CAGUUCCUGUGCUUCCUGGCUGAUGUUUUGGUCACUUUUGAAUGCUGGCGGUGCUUUCACUCUAAUGGUAGCAUGAGACGGAGUCUACAACCCACACAAGUGGCUCAGGUAGUGCAGCUCAUCCAGGAUGGCACAUCAACGCGGGCUGUGACAAGGUGGUUUGCGGUGUCUGUCAGCGUAGUGUUCAGAGCAUGGAGGCGCUACCAGGAGACAGGCCAGUACA